rfam:Oryza rufipogon genomic scaffold, chr08
AAAAAGGCAAACUCUAGAUUUCCGUGUCCAACUUUGACUGUCCGUCUUAUAUGAAAUUUUUUUAUAAUUCGUAUUUUCAUUGUUGUUAGAUGAUAAAACAUGAUUAAUAUUUUAUGCGUGACUUGUCUUUUUAAUUUUUUUCAUAAUUUUUUCAAAUAAGACGGACGGUCAAACGUUAGGCAUGGAAAUCAGGGUUUGUCUUUUU